rnacentral:rRNA from 1 species
UACGAAGGGGGCUAGCGUUGCUCGGAAUCACUGGGCGUAAAGGGCGCGUAGGCGGCCGAUUAAGUCGGGGGUGAAAGCCUGUGGCUCAACCACAGAAUUGCCUUCGAUACUGGUUGGCUUGAGACCGGAAGAGGACAGCGGAACUGCGAGUGUAGAGGUGAAAUUCGUAGAUAUUCGCAAGAACACCAGUGGCGAAGGCGGCUGUCUGGUCCGGUUCUGACGCUGAGGCGCGAAAGCGUGGGGAGCAAACAGGAUUAGAAACCCCUGUAGU